CACCGCGGUUACACGAGAGGCCCGAGUUGACAAAAGCCGGCGUAAAGAGUGGUUAAUAACUUCCAAACUAAAGCCAAACACCUUCAGAGCUGUCAUACGCAACCGAAGGCAGGAAGACCCCCAACGAAAGUGGCUUUAACAUUAAUGAACCCACGAAAGCUAGGGAA
rnacentral:rRNA from 1 species